rnacentral:rRNA from 1 species
UACGAAGGGUGCAAGCGUUACUCGGAAUUACUGGGCGUAAAGCGUGCGUAGGUGGUGAGUUAAGUCUGAUGUGAAAUCCCCGGGCUCAACCUGGGAAUGGCAUUGGAUACUGGCUCGCUAGAGUGCGGUAGAGGGUGGUGGAAUUCCCGGUGUAGCAGUGAAAUGCGUAGAGAUCGGGAGGAACACCUGUGGCGAAAGCGGCUCACUGGACCACAACUGACGCUGAGGCGCGAAAGCUAGGGGAGCAAACAGG